rnacentral:rRNA from 1 species
AAAACGACUCUCGGCAACGGAUAUCUAGGCUCUCGCAUCGAUGAAGAACGUAGCAAACUGCGAUACUUGUUGUGAAUUGCAGAAUCCCGUGAACCAUUGAGUUUUUGAAAGCAAGUUGCGCCCGAAGCCAUUAGGCCGAGGGCACGUCUGCCUGGGCGUCACGC